GCGCAGCACCGGGUGGCGGACCUGCGCACGCAGUUGGACCGGGCGCAGGAGUUCGCGGACACCCUCGCGGGACGACUCGCCCGCAGAUGAGUUCCGGCCUCGGGGUUUGGGGCUCGGGCCUCGGGCCUCGGGAUUUGGGGCUCGGGGUUCCGGAGUUCCGGGGUUUGGAGUUCGGAACUCGGGGUUCCGGAGUUCCGGGGUUUGGGUUCGGGGGUCUCGGGGUUUGGCUCAGAGCCCGGGGUUUGGGUUCCGGGGUCUCGGGCCCAAGGUCCGGGACUCGGGUUCGGCUCUCGGGGUUUCGGACUCGGGUCCGGGGACUCUGGUUCGGUUCCCGGAGUUUCGGACUCGGGUCCGGGCUCCCGGAUCCAGGGCUCGGGGCCGGGUCCCGGGGUUUCGGGCUCAAGGUCCGGGGCUCCGGGGUGACCUGCGGUUCUCCCAGGCCCGGAGCCUCGCAGAGCCUAACCCUCCCGUAGGCUCCGGACACAUGGUUCAUGUACUGAGCAGCCGGAUCCUCCUCCACCCCGCCGACCCCGAGCGCGCCCGCCGCUUCUACGGCGAGCAGCUCGGCCUCGGUGUCUACCGUGAGUUCGGCACCGGGCCGGAGCGGGGGACGGUGUACUUCCUCGGCGGCGGGUUCCUGGAGGUCGCGGGGCGCACGGACGCGCCCCGGGACCCCGGGACACGGCUGUGGCUCCAGGUCCCGGACGUGUCGGCGGCCCGUGACGAGCUGGCCGCGAAGGGGGUCGAGAUCGUGCGGGAGCCGGUGAAGGAGCCGUGGGGGCUGAUCGAGAUGUGGAUCGCGGAUCCCGACGGGACACCGAUCGUGCUGGUGGAGGUCCCGGCGGACCAUCCGAUCAGGUACCGGCCCGGUAUCUGAGCCGCUCGGAUGGCCGGGGCGGGGGUGGGGGCUUAGCGUGCAGGAAGGGGCUCUUACCGGGGUCCCUCUCCGACGGGCGCACCCUGGGAACGCUUCCGGGGCCCGGCUUCGGCUUCGGCUUCGGCUUCGGCUUCGGCUUCGGCUUCGGGAGGGUCGCCCUCAGGGGCCUCGGCCUCAAGGGAUUUUGGCCUCGGGAGGCGCUGGCCUCAAGGGAUUUUGGCCUCGGGAGGCGCUGGCCUCAAGGGACUUUGGCCUCGGGAGGCGCUGGCCUCAAGGGACUUUGGCCUCGGGAGGCGCUGGCCUCGGGAGGCGCUGGCCUCGGGAGGCGCUGGCCUCGGGAGGCGCUGGCCUCGGGAGGCGCUGGCCUCGGGAGGCGCUGGCCUCGGGAGGCGCUGGCCUCGGGAGGCGCUGGCCUCGGGAGGCUUCGCCCCCCGUCCUAGCUGCGGGCUGCGGGCUGCGGGCUGCGGGCUGCGGGCUGCGGGCUGCGGGCUGCGGGCUGCGGGCUGCGGGCUGCGGGCUGCGGGCUGCGGGCUGCGGGCUGCGGGCUGCGGGCUGCGGGCUGCGGGCUGCGGGCUGCGGAAGUCUCGCGACCCAUGGCCUCUGCCUCAAGGGGCUCUGCUCUCAGAGGUUCCCGCCUCCGAGGUGCCGGCCCUGGGAAGCUUCCGUGCUCUGUUCUCGGGGUGCUUUGGAGGUACGUCAUGAAGCUCGACGCGCCCGUGCCCGGCGGGCCCUGCUGGACCGAGUUGGGCACCAGCGACCUGGACGCGGCGAAACAGUUCUACGGCGGGCUGUUCGGCUGGCGGACGGAGACGGACCCCCGGCAGGAAGCGGGCGGCUACACGAUGGCGUACCUCGGCGAGGACGCCGUCGCCGCGCUGACGCCGCUGUACCAGCCCGGUCAGCCGGUCACCUGGAACGUGUCGUUCGCCGUGUCCGACGCGGACGUCAGCACCCGCCUGCUCGUCGAGGCCGGCGGCAAGGUGCUGGUCGGCCCGAUGGACGUGUUCGACAUCGGCCGCUUCGCCGUAGCCGCAGACCCGGGCGGCGCGGUCUUCCAGCUCUGGCAGGGCAAGACCUUCCCCGGCGCCGGAGUCUUCAACUCCCCCGGCGCCCUCGGCUGGGUCGAACUCCUCACCCGCGACACGGCCCGCGCCGAGUCCUUCUACACGACGGUCUUCGGCUGGACGAUCCGCCCCUCCGCCCGCUACCCCCAACUCGGCGUAGGCGGCGAGGACUUCGGCGGCAUGCUCACCAUGGACGACCGCUUCCCGCCCGAGGUCCCCCCGCACUGGCUCCCCUACUUCGCGGUGACCGACGUGGACAACACGGCGUCCACCGCGGCGAGUUCGGGCGGUACGACCCUGAUGGCACCGAUGACGGUCCCCGACGGCCCCCGCAUCGGCGUCCUCCGCGACCCGCAGGGCGGAGUCUUCGGCGUCUACCACAGCACCGCCGCCUGACGCGUCGGCGACCCCCUUCACGCCCCCUCGUGCACUUCUGCGCUCGUGUGCGCGCCGCCAACCCCGGGCAUCGCUCACUCCGUACGGAACGCUCGGGGCGGAACGCCAGGAACGAGAGGUCCGGCACGCGAACGCCCGGCGCGGAUUCACUCACGCACAGGACACGGCACGGGGAGGUGCACGUGCACGGACCGGCUUCGCUCAGCUGGCUGCUGGUGGCGUUGUGCGCGGCGACGGGAGCCUACUGCCUGCUGCGGAUGCGCAGCGAGGACGAGGGGCAGCGCAGAGCCGCGGGCGGUGAGGCGGUGAUGGGGUUCGGAAUGGCCACGAUGGCGGUACCGGCGGGGGUGUUCACGCCGCCGGGGUGGGCGUGGCCGGUGUACCUCACGGUGUUCGGGGUGGCGGCGGUGCGCUCGCUGUGGGCGGUGCGCGGGGGUGGGCGGGACGGUUCCGGCGUCCUGAGCGGGCUGGUCGGACACCAUGCGCAUCACCUCGUGGGCGCGCUGGCGAUGGUCUACAUGGCCGCCGUGAUGGCCGCGACGCCGUCGCACGUGCAUGCGCACGAGAGUUCAGGCGUGCCGCUGCUCACAGGCGUACUGCUCAUGUACUUCGCGGCGUACGUCCUGGCAUCCGGCGCGAGACUCGUACCCGUGGGAACGACGACCGGUGGGGACGUCAGCGAAGGCGGCCGUCCGGGAUGGGGCGACCGCCCGGAACUGGCGCGGGCGUGCCGCUUGUCGAUGGGAAUCGGAAUGCUGGCGAUGCUCCUGAGCAUGUGACACCCCACCCCACCCCCAAACAGUGUCCUGCGUCACUUUGCCACCCCGGCACCACCCUUGAUCACACCCCCGCUCAUAGGCUGCUGCCCAUGACGGUCCCCGCGGUCCUCCUCCUGCUCGGCUUCGUGACCGCCGUCGCGGCCCCCCGGCUGCUCGCCCGGGCCAGUUGGCCGGACCGGGAACCGGUGGUCGCGUUGUGGGCCUGGCAGUGCGUGGUCGCGGCGGUACUGCUGUGCUGCGCGCUGUCGAUGACAUUGAGCGCGGCGGCGGCCUGGCAGGCGGUGCGGGGACACGUGUUCGCCCCGGCGCCGCACGGGGUCGUGGAGGCGUACGCCCUGACGACGACCGGCCCUUGGGCUGCGGCCACGGCCGUGUCGCUGGCGUGCGCGGGCCUGUGGAGCGGGGCGAUGCUGGUCCGAGAGAUCGUCCGCGCCCGACGCCGGCACCGGGUCCGGCGGGCCGAACUCCGGCUGCGGGUACCGCUGUUGCCGGGUGAACGACCGGGCGGCGAGCGGCUCGUGGUGCUGGAGGGCGACCGUCCCGACGCCUGGUUCCUGACCGGCGCGAAGCCUCAACUCGUCGUCACCACCGCCGCGUUGCGCCGCCUGAAGGGGCGUCAGCUGGACGCCGUACGCGCUCACGAGCAGGGGCACGCGCAGGCUCGGCACGACUGGCUGCUGCACGCCUCGGGGGCGCUGGCGAACGGGUUCCCGCAGGUGCCGGUGUUCGCGGCGUUCCGCGACGAGAUGCACCGGCUGGUCGAACUCGCCGCGGACGACAUGGCGUCGCGCCGCUUCGGCCGGCUCACCACGGCCCUCGCGCUCGUCGAACUCAACGAGGACAGAGGGGUGUUCGGCCCCACGCCCACCCCGGACGCCCACCUCUCCCAACGGGUCGACCGCCUCCUGACACCCCCGAACCGCCUCCCCCCGACCCACCGCCUGCGCCUCACGGCACUCGCGACGCUGGUCCCGGCGAUCCCGGUCCUGAUCACGCUGGUCCCGGGCUUGCGCGCACUGAGCUGAGGGCGGACACCCCGCACAAGGCCAGGCCCGGCACACCUCGCGCGAGACGCUGAGUCCGGGCCCGGCACACCCCGGAUCCCC
rnacentral:tRNA from 1 species